rnacentral:rRNA from 1 species
AACGCUGGCGGCGCGCUUAACACAUGCAAGUCGAGCGAGAACCAGUCCUUCGGGACUGGGGACAGCGGCGAACGGGUGAGUAACACGUGGGUAAUCUGCCCUCGAUUCUGGGAUAGCCCGGGGAAACCCGGAUUAAUACCGGAUAGCCUCGCUGGUCUUCGGGCCGGCGAGAAAAGGUAGCUUCGGCCUCCGAUCGAGGAUGAGCCCGCGGCGGAUUAGCUUGUUGGGGGGGUAACGGCCUACCAAGGCGACGAUCCGUAGCUGGUCUGAGAGGACGAUCAGCCACACUGGGACUGAGACACGGCCCAGACUCCUACGGGAGGCAGCAGUGGGGAAUCUUGCGCAAUGGGCGAAAGCCUGACGCAGCGACGCCGCGUGGGGGAAGAAGGCCUUCGGGUUGUAAACCUCUUUCAGCAGGGACGAAGCCACUCGGGUGAAUAGCCCAGAGGGUGACGGUACCUGCAGAAGAAGCCCCGGCUAACUACGUGCCAGCAGCCGCCGUAACAC